rnacentral:tRNA from 1 species
UAUAGCUCAGUUGGGAGAGCGCUGCGUUCGCAAUGCAGAGGUCAGGGGUUCGAGUCCCCUUA